UACGUAGGGUGCAAGCGUUGCCCGGAUUUAUUGGGCGUAAAGGGCGCGUAGGCGGCUCGGCACGUCCGUUGUGAAAUCGCUCGGCUCAACUGGGCGGGUCAGCGGAUACGGCGUGGCUGGAGCAAGCUAGGGGGCAAUGGAAUUCCCGGUGUAGUGGUGGAAUGCGUAGAUAUCGGGAGGAACACCAGUGGCGAAGGCGGUUGCCUGGAGCUUUGCUGACGCUGAUGCGCGAAAGCGUGGGGAGCGAGUCCGG
rnacentral:rRNA from 1 species